rnacentral:rRNA from 1 species
GAUGAACGCUGGCGGCGUGCUUAACACAUGCAAGUCGAACGGUGAAGCAGGAGCUUGCUCCUGUGGAUCAGUGGCGAACGGGUGAGUAACACGUGAGCAACCUGCCCCUGACUCUGGGAUAAGCGCUGGAAACGGCGUCUAAUACUGGAUAUGUGAUGUGACCGCAUGGUCUGCAUCUGGAAAGAAUUUCGGUUGGGGAUGGGCUCGCGGCCUAUCAGCUUGUUGGUGAGGUAAUGGCUCACCAAGGCGUCGACGGGUAGCCGGCCUGAGAGGGUGACCGGCCACACUGGGACUGAGACACGGCCCAGACUCCUACGGGAGGCAGCAGUGGGGAAUAUUGCACAAAGGGCGGAAGCCUGAUGCAGCAACGCCGCGUGAGGGAUGACGGCCUUCGGGCUGUAAACCUCUUUUAGCAGGGAAGAAGCGAAAGUGACGGUACCUGCAGAAAAAGCACCGGCUAACUACGUGCCAGCCGCCGCUGUAA